UGAGGAAUAUUGCACAAUGGGCGAAAGCCUGAUGCAGCAACGCCGCGUGAGGGACGAAGGCCUUCGGGUCGUAAACCUCUUUUCUGGGGGACGAGUAAGGACGGUACCUCAGGAAUAAGUCUCGGCUAACUACGUGCCAGCAGCCGCGGUAAAACGUAGGAGGCGAGCGUUAUCCGGAUUUACUGGGCGUAAAGCGUACGCAGGUGGCUUCGUGAGUCGGACAUGAAAGCUCCCGGCUUAACUGGGAGAGGUUGUUCGAUACUGCGGGGCUUGAGGUUGGGAGAGGGACGUGGAAUUCCCGGUGUAGUGGUGGAAUGCGUAGAUAUCGGGAGGAACACCAGUGGCGCAAGCGGCGUCCUGGCCCACACCUGACGCUGAGGUACGAAAGCGUGGGUAGCAAACAG
rnacentral:rRNA from 1 species